UACGGAGGGUGCGAGCGUUGUCCGGAAUCAUUGGGCGUAAAGAGCUCGUAGGCGGUUCGUCGCGUCGGCUGUGAAAACCCGGAGCUCAACUCCGGGCCUGCAGUCGAUACGGGCGGACUUGAGUGUUGCAGGGGAGACUGGAAUUCCUGGUGUAGCGGUGAAAUGCGCAGAUAUCAGGAGGAACACCGGUGGCGAAGGCGGGUCUCUGGGCAACUACUGACGCUGAGGAGCGAAAGCGUGGGAGCGAACAGG
rnacentral:rRNA from 1 species